UACGGUCAUAUUACAUUGAAACACCGAUUCCCGUACCGUCCUCGAAGUUAAGCAAAGUCUAGCCUGGUCAGUACGUAGAUGGGUAACCGUUUGGGAAAUACCAGCUGCUGUAAG